AAGGAAGUCACUAUAAAGGGAUUCCCACAAGCUCCAGUCGCUAUCCAACCUCUGUGUGGGUAUUAGGGGCUGGCUGUGUGACACUGGGACUGGCCACGAUUGUGUUGGUGCUCCUUGUUUUGCAGGGCAGUUUUUGCAAAGGAGAGACUGCGGGGGCUCUAAAUGCCACCGAGGGUGAACUGGGAACCCUGGCAGGCCUUGCAGAGAACUGUCCCUCUUCCCGGGAUGCCGUGGCUCGCCUGAAAAACAGCUUGUGCG